AUCGGGGCCUUGGGGAGUAGACACUGCCAUCUUUUCCUGGGGGUUUAUGUUUCAAUCAAAGAGUCUCCUUGGAGACAGAAGCCCCAAGAAGCCACGGAGACUAGAGCCGCUGGAGGCUGUGGUUCCUGGGAGCUCAAGUGCAGCCCCGUGGUGAAAUUCAUCUAGCAAGCACUACUGUGAGUUUCCCCUAAAAAAAGAGUUAACUGUGACCCCAGGAUCUCUAUGGUGGAUGCAUUGUCUUUGGACACCAGGCAGGCUCUCCUUCAGGGUUCUAUCUGGCAAAGGGACACGUGGAGAUGGGGACCAAGAGGAGGAGGCAUCCUGGACGUCACCAGGUGCCCCAUCCACGGCGAGGGAAGCCUGGAUCCGGCUCUGCUGUCACUCAGAACAGGUCGGGGACUCCGGUGACCACGUCCCUGCCCGCUGCAUGCUUGGAAAGCACUGCCUUUGCCAGAAGCCUAGGCGAGAAGGCUCCCAAAGCAGACACCGGACCCCCGAGUAGCUCUGGUCUCCACGGGCCACCCCGGGAGCUGUAGGGCGAGGCCCACCCGCGCGCCGUAGUGCGCAUGCGUCAGUCGGCUGAGCAGGAGGCCGCCCGCGCAGCCUCGCUCCCGCCCGGUCGCCGUGGCAACGGGCUCGCGGGGGG
rnacentral:lncRNA from 1 species